UUAAUGGAUAGCCUACAAAGAAGAAAUGUGUAUGUUGGACCAAAAAUUUCAUUGAAAGGCAUUUGCUUGACCCAUUUUCCAUUGGGAUUUACAGAAUAGGUCACGUUACGGAUUUGAGGUUGAUUGUGUAACGAAUACAAAACAGUUAAGGAGUUUUCUGUGCAUUCUGAAAAAGGAGAAUUAAAAAACUACGUAGCAGAGAAUUUACUAGAAGACACUAGAAGACAAUUCACUAAAGUGCUGUCCAUCUCUAUCCAUGUCUUACAGAUUAUUCUAGUUCAUGUCAAACUCCUCUACAUCAAAAGUGCUCCACAUGGACAGGUUUCUAACCUAUGAAGCUCAAACACGCCUCUUAAAUGGUGUGCCCUUGUGUUUGACACGUAUUGGACACAAACACUCGUAGGACAUAGUGAGAUUCUGAGACGGAAGGCACAUACUCCUACUACGUUUAUAGGCCCAUCUACUGGGUAAGUUCAACCUAUUUUAUUUGAAUUGCCAAUUUGGAGAAAUGUGUUCUAACAUUGAUUCUCACGUUAGAUGUUGAAUGUUUCAACAAUAAAUCACCUCGUAUCUAUUUUUGGCUAAGAAGAUAGUUAUGAUGGGGAAGAAUGCGGCAGGGUUAAGGGUUAUGAGGUUUUUACUUAUAACUGAUUUAGCUGUCUUAGUGCUGGUUAAAAGUUGGAAUAGCUACAUCUCUCAUUUAUUUUCAUGAUUAAAAGUUGUUAAGUGUUUGUUUUGAUAAAGUUCAACUUUUGUUUGUUCAUCCUGUUGAGUUUCCCUGUGAGCAUAUUUUUUUUUUUUUUUCUUUUUUUCCAUAGGCCUGAUAUGCUUUUCUGUGAGAUUUUUUGUAUGACUUAUGCGAGUCCUUUUGUUUGACUCUCGAGUUAACAGAUUCACGGAGUUGAGACUGGUUAUCAGGCUAGCUCCAAUGGUCUUUAUUUCUUUAUUAUUUCACUAGUUUACUUGUGUUGUGGAAACUUGGAACAACAAUAUAGAUGGCAGAAGAUAUUAAAAUCAAGUCAUUAGGGUGGAGACGAGGAAAUUUAGUAGCAACACAUCUAUAUAAAUGUCCAAGCCUUAUCUUCGUUGAAUUGAGAAUAAAAUGAUUGUGAUUUUAUUUAUGUUACAAACAAGAGCAUUCCGUAAUGUAGGGAAGUGAAGUGUUUACGGGGCCAAAAAAGAUUUUACAAUUUGUAAUGUGAACUGGUUUCUUGUUGGUAUUUUACUACAUAUGUUUUCUCUCUUUUUUCGGUUGACAAAUGCUGAGGUUCUGAAUCAAGGUAUUAGAAAACAGCACAAUCAAAGAGAGAAAUGAAGAGGUGUUGCAUAUGUUUGGAUUUGUUGUGACGUGCGAAAAAUGUAUGUGGAAAGUGCAUGCAGAUUAUCCCUUCGAGGGCUUGAGCAUAAGAAGCAGGACAAAUGUCCAUCUUACAUUACAGCAACAAGACAGCUCUAUUUUGUUAUCAUAAUAUUGUUAAUUUUAUGACUAUUUUGUUUAGAAGAUCAAGUUUAUUAGAUCUGUUCCUAUAUUAUUCAGAUACUAUAAGUAUAUGAUUUAGCUGCCGAAUUAUCUGCUAUUGCGAUACUUA